CUGUAAUGUUGUGGAUUCGGUACUGGCCCACAGUUGCUGGCUUUGAUAUUCGUCGAGACCUUCUGGUCGGGUUACACGUUGGCUGAGUAACCGGCGGGGUCAGCCGACGUGUAGUCUCAGAGCUGGUUAACCAAUCUUCCUCUGGCAGCUCCAUGAAAAAGGGUACAUACACCCUACGACAUUCUUCAAGUGAACAUUUGUUCCCUUGACAAGAAGAGAGCGGAUAACCUCCUCGUUGUAACCAGUCGCGGCUACAUGCAGAAUUGUGUUGCCGGCAUCAUUAGCAAAAUGUACGUCAGCCCCAUUGGCUAUCCAGCGUUGAGAAAGGUGUAUAUUUGGCUGGUUCACUGCAACCCACAACGGGGUUGCGCCAGUGGCGAAGGUACUGUCGAUGCCAGCACCUUGUUCGAGUAGGAGCAAGAGCAGAGAAUCGUUUUCCUCGCGG
rnacentral:sRNA from 1 species